AGUUGCGAAGGCGGCUCUCUGGACUGUAACUGACGCUGAGGCACGAAAGCGUGGGGAGCAAACAGGAUUAGAUACCCUGGUAGUCCACGCUGUAAACGAUGAGUACUAGGUGUCGGGGGUUACCCCCUUCGGUGCCGCAGCUAACGCAUUAAGUACUCCGCCUGGGAAGUACGCUCGCAAGCGUGAAACUAAAAGGACUUGACGGGGACCCGCCCAAGUAGCGGAGCACGUGGUUUAAUUCUGAGCAACGCGAAGAACCUUACCUCAGCUUGACCUCCCUAUGACCUCUCCUUAAUCGGAGAGUAUCCAUAGGGGACAUCGGUGACAGGUGGUGCAUGGUU
rnacentral:rRNA from 1 species